rnacentral:rRNA from 1 species
UAGGGAAUAUUGGACAAUGGAGGCAACUCUGAUCCAGCCAUGCCGCGUGAACGAAGAAGGCGCUCUGCGUUGUAAAGUUCUUUUAGAGGGGAAUAAAAUGCGCCAUUUAUGGUGUACUGAAGGUACCUUCGGAAUAAGCACCGGCUAACUCUGUGCCAGCAGCCGCGGUAAUACAGAGGGUGCAAGCGUUAUCCGGAUUUACUGGGUUUAAAGGGUGCGUAGGCGGUUUAUUAAGUCAGAGGUGAAAGAUAAUCGCUUAACGAUUAAAUUGCCUUUGAUACUGGUAGACUUGAGUUAAGUUGAGGUUGGCGGAAUGAGACAUGUAGCGGUGAAAUGCUUAGAUAUGUCUUAGAACACCGAUUGCGAAGGCAGCUGACUGGACUUUAACUGACGCUGAGGC